GGACUACCGGGGUUUCUAAUCCUGUUUGCUCCCCUAGCUUUCGUGCCUCAGCGUCAGACUCUGUCCAGAUAGCCGCCUUCGCCACCGGUGUUCCUCCUGAUAUCUACGCAUUUCACCGCUACACCAGGAAUUCCGCUAUCCCCUCCAGAACUCUAGCUCGUCAGUAUUGGAUGCAGGCUCUGGGUUGAGCCCAGAGUUUUCACAUCCAACUUAGCGAACCGCCUACGCACCCUUUACGCCCAGUAAUUCCGAACAACGCUUGCCCCCCUCGUAUUACCGCGGCGGCUGGCAC
rnacentral:rRNA from 1 species